rnacentral:rRNA from 1 species
UUAUGGCUCAGGAUGAACGCUAGCUACAGGCUUAACACAUGCAAGUCGAGGGGCAGCGAGAGGAAAGCUUGCUUCCUGUCGGCGACCGGCGCACGGGUGAGUAACGCGUAUCCAACCUUCCCCAUAGUAGAGGAUAGCCCGGCGAAAGUCGGAUUAAUACUCUAUGUUGUACAACGAGGACAUCUGAAUUGUACCAAAGAUUCAUCGCUAUGGGAUGGGGAUGCGUCUGAUUAGCUUGUUGGCGGGGUAACGGCCCACCAAGGCGACGAUCAGUAGGGGUUCUGAGAGGAAGGUCCCCCACAUUGGUACUGAGACACGGACCAAACUCCUACGGGAGGCAGCAGUGAGGAAUAUUGGUCAAUGGACGAGAGUCUGAACCAGCCAAGUAGCGUGCAGGAAUGACUGCCCUAUGGGUUGUAAACUGCUUUUAUGCGGGAAUAAAGUCAGGUACGUGUACCUGUUUGUAUGUACCGCAUGAAUAAGGACCGGCUAAUUCCGUGCCAGCCGCUGC